GCAGUACUCACUCUGUCCAACAAAAAUUGUUUCAAGUUUGUCAAAAUUUGGAUGUAUACAUGAUUUAGUGUAUAGAUGCAUUCAAAUUUAAGUUAAAGUUGAGACAUGUUUUGUUAGACGGAGGAAGUACCAA
rnacentral:pre_miRNA from 1 species